UACAGAGGUCUCAAGCGUUGUUCGGAUUCAUUGGGCGUAAAGGGUGUGUAGGUGGCGCCGUAAGUCGGGUGUGAAAUUUCGGAGCUUAACUCCGAAACUGCAUUCGAUACUGCGGUGCUUGAGGACUGGAGAGGAGACUGGAAUUCAUGGUGUAGCAGUGAAAUGCGUAGAGAUCAUGAGGAAGACCCGUGGCGAAAGCGGCGCGCUGGACCACUACUGACGCUGAGGCACGAAGGUCAGGGGAGCAAACGGG
rnacentral:rRNA from 1 species